CCCCCUCCUCCAAAACUACGCCCCAGAUUUUCCAGCAAGCCCCACUUUGGAGCAGUUAAAACCCUGCUGGCUUGUCAAACCGGAGAGCAAUCCGCUCCGAAUUUAACUGCUUCCUGUUUAAAACCAGCAAAAAAGCCAUCCAGUACCUUUCUCUCUCCCCCCCCCACGUUUAAUCUCAACAGCAGUGCUAUAAUUCUGUGUCAUCGCUAAGAAACGCUGCUAGAAUUCAUCCUGUUCGCCUCCAUGGCUGUGGAUAUAGGGGCCAUAUUUGCAUAUAUGGUAAUAAGCUUCUAAUUGCCAGGCUGAUGGGCUUUGCUGAUCGAUUGCUAUAAAUACACAGGUUCAGAAAGCUUUGCAAUAGUGCUCCCCCCGCCUCCUUUUCAAAAUAUCCUUGCAAUGUACCAGUUUGAGCUCCCAAUAUUUGCAUAUCAAUUUUUUUUAAAUAUAAUACGUAUACUUUACGUAUAGGCUACGUGGAAGUCUCCUUUUGCGGCUCCUAUAUAUCCUUACGCCUCGCGCCUCUUCCCCCCUCUGUUUUUCUUUCCUUGUCAAUUCCAUUUUCAGGUUCCUCCUUGAAGAGUUUUUUUUUUUCUCCUCCGAGGAUUAAAGGAAGAGGGGAGAGAGAGAGAAAGGAAAGAAAGACAGAAAAGCUGCAGAAAGCAAUUUCUCGUCUAGCGCUAUAAAAACAGGAAGAUUGACGCGAAGAUUCCUUCCCCAUCUGGGCAGCGAAAAGCGAGGGGGCUUCGGGGCAGACCCACGAGAACAGAUGCUGCUGGCGAAGGUAACAGGGCCUAGCCUGGGUGAUAUUUGAUGUUCUGCGUGUGCCACCUUCUCUCUGGAUGGUGAAUCAUUGGUCUUUAGGUCCUGUGAAAGUUCUCUUGGAAUCCCCGGGUGAAGGAUGCAAGCUGGAAAGAAAGAAAGAGAAUUUGAUCAUCAAAGAAAUAAAGAGCAGCAAACUCCUAAAAAUCUGGAAAUCUGCGCUAAUUGCUUCUGAAUGUCUGUCUGAAAAAUUAUCAAAUUGAUGCCGUCGUGCUUUUUUUGACAGCCUGUCUGUUACAGUUUUUUUUUUAAAUAUUCAUGCAUGGAAAUCUAAUUACUAGGCAAAUUUAAUGAUAAUGAGAUGAAGGCACCUUGUUCAUAUUUUCUCAGCCUCUGUCUUGUUCAGAAUGUUUUGGUUUUUUUACGACUGCCUUUCUUGUACUUAAAAAAAAAAAUGCCAAAAAUAAAAUGUGGAUUGCUGAAAAUGUUUGCA
rnacentral:lncRNA from 1 species